rnacentral:lncRNA from 1 species
UUCGCAUGGCAUCACACCCUGUGUUGCUCUCCCGCCCGUUCACUCUUGUCACUCGCUACGUCUCGGUCGCGGCUGUGAUGCGAAUUUGCCCACGACGCGGUUGACCCUGGACGCCCUGACGACGACGGGAUGGUCAUGUUAGCUUCGAAAGGAAAUGGACGUGAAGUGAGUUAGGAAGAAGGAAAAAAAGA